rnacentral:rRNA from 1 species
GACGAACGCUGGCGGCGUGCUUAACACAUGCAAGUCGAACGGAAAGGCCCUGCAUUUGUGGGGUGCUCGAGUGGCUAACGGGUGAGUAACACGUGAGUAACCUGCCCUUGACUUUGGGAUAACUUCAGGAAACUGGGGCUACUACCGGAUAGGAGCUCCUGCUGCAUGGUGGGGGUUGGAAAGUUUCGGCGGUUGGGGAUGGACUCGCGGCUUAUAAGCUUGUUGGUGGGGUAGUGGCUUACCAGGGCUGUGACGGGUAGCCGGCCUGAGAGGGUGACCGGACACAUUGGGUUUGAAAUACGGCACAGACUACUACCGGAGGCAGCAGUGGAGAAUAGUGCACAAUGGGCGGAAGCCUGAUGCAGCACCGCCGCGUGCGGGAUGACGGCCUUCGGGUUGUAACCCGCUUUCGCCUGUGACGAAGCGUAAGUGACGGUAAUGGGUAAAGAAGCACCGGCUAACUACGUG